rnacentral:rRNA from 1 species
UACGGAGGGGGCUAGCGUUGUUCGGAAUUACUGGGCGUAAAGCGCACGUAGGCGGAUCAGCCAGUCAGGGGUGAAAUCCCGGGGCUCAACCCCGGAACUGCCCUUGAUACUGCUGGUCUGGAGUUCGAGAGAGGCGAGUGGAAUUCCGAGUGUAGAGGUGAAAUUCGUAGAUAUUCGGAGGAACACCAGUUGCGAAGGCGGCUCUCUGGACUGUAACUGACACUGAGGCACGAAAGCGUGGGGAGCAAACAGGAUUAGAUACCCGGGUAGUCCCU